UGAAGACAUAAGAAAUCGAGGGCAAAAGGUUCACUUAAAAUGCUUUUGAAUGUGAAGCGGUUUUUUCUCACAAUUCUUACGUUUGGAACACUCCAACUGGAGGGGAGGAGAGAGGCCCCGGCAGUUGAAGAUAUUGGAGAUCAUAACUAGCCAAAGUGGGAAACAUUGAAGGAAUGAGAGAUUUGAGGUGAAGGAAGGAGAGAGAAAAGGGUGCUUCAGAGAAAGACUGGUCUGGGUGAACAAACACCUUAGAUAAAAGCAACAGGAAGACUGGACACCUGAAAAAAGCCUCAAGGAAAGAUAUUGUCAUUCUCUGUAGAGCAGAUAUUCAUCCUUAUGUCAGAGAACAAUGGAGGAUAUGGGUCAUUGAAUGUUAUGUUAUCUCUACUAUUGAACAAAAUCAAAUGGAUAGCUGCUGUUCUCUGAAAUCUUGUGGUGUUAAAGGACUGAGGAAUUACAAAACGGACAGUUUCUGAGAAAAGUGGGAAGAUCUGUAUGAACCAUGCAAAGUGAAAGGAGUAGGAACAGGAAAAAGAUUUAUAUCAUAACAACAUUAUGAAGAUAAACAACUUUGAAAACCUUUAGAAUUCAAU
rnacentral:lncRNA from 1 species